UCAAGCUACAAAGGGCGCAUGGUGAAUGCCUUGGCAUCAGGAGCCGAUGAAGGACGUGAUAAGCUGCGAUAAGCUUCGGGUAGGCGCACAUAGCCUGAGAUCCGAAGAUUUCCGAAUGAGGAAACUCACAUGGGAAACCCCAUGUAUCAUUAAGUGAAUACAUAGCUUAAUGAAGGUAACCCAGGGAACUGAAACAUCUAAGUACCUGGAGGAAGAGAAAGAAAAAUCGAUUUUCUUAGUAGCGGCGAGCGAAAGGGAAAGAGCCCAAACCGGAAACUUGUUUCCGGGGUUGUGGACAUAACAUAAAAGUGGAGGCUAUUGUAACUGAAGAGAACUGGAAAGUUCCACCGUAGAAGGUAAUAGUCCUGUAAGUGAAACGAGAAGACCACGAGUUAUGAUCCAGAGUACCACGAGACACGUGAAACCUUGUGGGAAGCAGGGAGGACCACCUCCCAAGGCUAAAUACUACCUGAUGACCGAUAGUGAAGCAGUACCGUGAGGGAAAGGUGAAAAGAACCCCGGGAGGGGAGUGAAAUAGAACCUGAAACCGUGUGCCUACAACCGCUCAGAGCCCCUUAUGAGGGUGAUGAGGUGCUUUUUGUAGAACGAGCCAACGAGUUACGGUAUGUAGCAAGGUUAAGUACUUAAGGUACGGAGCCGAAGGGAAACCGAGUCUGAAUAGGGCGACUAGUUGCAUGCCGUAGACCCGAAACCGGGUGACCUAUCCAUGGCCAGGUUGAAGCGAGGGUAAAACCUCGUGGAGGACCGAACCACGUUGCUGUUGAAAAAGCAUGGGAUGAGCUGUGGAUAGCGGAGAAAUUCCAAUCGAACCCGGAGAUAGCUGGUUCUCUCCGAAAUAGCUUUAGGGCUAGCGUCGAGUAUGAGUAGUGGAGGUAGAGCACUGAAUGGGCUAGGGGGCAUAGCGCUUACCGAACCUUAUCAAACUCCGAAUGCCACAUACUUUGAGCUCGGCAGUCAGACUACGAAUGAUAAGAUCCGUGGUCAAAAGGGAAACAGCCCAGAUCGUCAGCUAAGGUCCCAAAGUGUAAGUUAAGUGGGAAAGGAUGUGAGAUUUCUAAGACAACUAGGAUGUUGGCUUAGAAGCAGCCAUUCAUUAAAAGAGUGCGUAAUAGCUCACUAGUCGAGAGAUCUUGCGCCGAAAAUGUAACGGGGCUAAACUUACCACCGAAGCUACGGGCUUGAACUUAGUUCAAGCGGUAGGAGAGCGUCGUAACCGGGCUGAAAUCGUACCGUAAGGAGCGGUGGACUGGUUACGAGUGAGAAUGUUGGCAUCAGUAGCGAGAUGUGGGUGAGAAUCCCACAGGCCGAAAACCUAAGGUUUCCUCAGGAAGGUUCGUCCGCUGAGGGUUAGUCGGGACCUAAGCCGAGGCCGAAAGGCGUAGGUGAUGGACAACUGGUUGAUAUUCCAGUACCACUACCAUCGUUAUUAUCGAUGGCGUGACGCAGGAGGAUAGUGUGUGCUAGCUAUUGGAUGCUAGUCUAAGCGUUUAGGCAGUGAGAGUAGGCAAAUCCGCUCUCAUAAUGCUGAGGCGUGAUGGGGAAGGUUCUACGGAACCGAAGUACAUGAUUCCACGCUGCCAAGAAAAGCGUCUAGAGAGAGAAGUAGUGCCCGUACCGCAAACCGACACAGGUAGGUGAGGAGAGAAUCCUAAGGCCGGCGGAAGAAUUACAGUUAAGGAACUCGGCAAAUUGACCCCGUAAGUUCGCGAGAAGGGGUGCCUACGAGAGUAGGCCGCAGAGAAUAGGCCCAAGCAACUGUUUAGCAAAAACACAGGUCUCUGCUAAAGCGUAAGCUGAUGUAUAGGGGCUGACGCCUGCCCGGUGCUGGAAGGUUAAGGGGAACACUUAGCGCAAGCGAAGGUGUGAACUUAAGCCCCAGUAAACGGCGGCCGUAACUAUAACGGUCCUAAGGUAGCGAAAUUCCUUGUCAGGUAAGUUCUGACCCGCACGAAUGGCGUAAUGACUUGGGCACUGUCUCAACUGUAAAUCCGGCGAAGUUGUAGUGCGAGUGAAGAUGCUCGCUACCCGCGAUUGGACGGAAAGACCCCGUAGAGCUUUACUGUAGCUUAGCAUUGAGUUUUGGUAUUGUCUGUACAGGAUAGGUGGGAGACUAGGAAACCAGGGCGUCAGCCUUGGUGGAGUCAACCUUGGGAUACCACCCUGACAGUACUGAAAUUCUAACUGGCGGCCAUGAAUCUGGUCACAGGACAUUGUUAGGUGGGCAGUUUGACUGGGGCGGUCGCCUCCUAAAAAGUAACGGAGGCGCCCAAAGGUUCCCUCAGAACGGUCGGAAAUCGUUCGAAGAGUGCAAAGGCAGAAGGGAGCCUGACUGCGACACCCACAAGUGGAGCAGGGACGAAAGUCGGGCUUAGUGAUCCGGUGGUACCUCGUGGGAGGGCCAUCGCUCAACGGAUAAAAGCUACCUCGGGGAUAACAGGCUGAUCUCCCCCAAGAGUCCACAUCGACGGGGAGGUUUGGCACCUCGAUGUCGGCUCGUCGCAUCCUGGGGCUGAAGUAGGUCCCAAGGGUUGGGCUGUUCGCCCAUUAAAGCGGCACGCGAGCUGGGUUCAGAACGUCGUGAGACAGUUCGGUCCCUAUCCGUCGCGGGCGUAGGAAAUUUGAGAGGAGCUGUCCUUAGUACGAGAGGACCGGGAUGGACUGACCUCUGGUGUACCAGUUGUUUCGCCAGGAGCACAGCUGGGUAGCUAAGUCGGGAAUGGAUAAACGCUGAAAGCAUCUAAGCGUGAAGCCAACCUCAAGAUGAGAUUUCCCAUAGCGUAAGCUAGUAAGAUCCCUUGAAGAACACAAGGUUGAUAGGUCGGGGGUGUAAGCAUGGUAACAUGUUCAGCUGACCGAUACUAAUAGAUCGAGGGCUUGACCAA
rnacentral:rRNA from 1 species